GUUCCCAUUGUGGCUCAGCAGAUUAAGCACCCGACAUAGUGUCCAUGAGGAUGCAGGUUCAAUCCCUGGCCUCACUCAGUGGGUUAAAGAUACAGCAUUGUGGCAAGCUGCUGUGUAGGCUGCAAAUGCAGCUCGGAUCCCGUGUGGCUGUGGCUAAUCCCUUAUGAAGUAUUGUGAAGCUAUAAUUAUCCAGGCUCUCCCUUCUUGUAUCUACCAAGUCAAAAAUGUCCACAGGUAAUUCCAAUGCAGUAUCUUCUUCACAGGAACCACUGAACGAAUUCAAGUCUUUAGAUUUUAUGGUGAGGAAAUUGAGGCUUAGAAUAAAUAGCUUGCCUAAGACUCCUAGCUUCUUGGUAAGUGAUCUUCCUGUUCUUCUAUGUUGUUUGCCAAAUAUUUAGCUUUUAAAGAAAUUAAUAUGAGAGCUUAGCCUUCUCUCAGUGACAAUAUUCAGAAAGAAUAAUAUAGGUUUUUAAAGUAUACCUUAUUCAGCAUUUAAUUUAAUUCAAAAUAAAAUUUAUUUUACAAUUUGUGAAGAGAAUUAUUGCAUAUUUACAAUAGGAUUUAAAGUGAAUUUUGCUGUGCUUUUCCUGUGGACAUUAGUCUUUGCCACAAUGCUUGCUGCUAAUGAGUACAAGGAAACACUGUGUGUGGCAGAGAGCUGCCCAACCCCAACCUCACAAGUUGACGGCAAACAAAACAAAUGCUUUAUAGGGCAAGAUAUCUUUAGGAAUUAAAUUCUUUAGAGCUCUCAGCAAUAAGAUACGGAUUUCUUAUAAUUAGGAUUUUUUUGUUUAAAAUUAAAAAAAAAAACUUUGUGAGAUAUUCUUGGAAUUUUCUAGUCCAUAAACAGUUAAUGUAGGAAAAUCAGUGAUUACUAGGUACAGUAUUCUUAUUGUAGCUUUACUGACUGGUAGACUAAAAGUUUAAAAAAUAUAGCAAAAAAUUUCUGAGUUUUUGUAUUUGGUGUCGUAGUAUUAUGAUAUUAAAUCUCUUAAAAUGUUUUUUAUCCAUAAUAUAGAGGAAUCAAAAAAUACAUUAGAACUUGGAUGUGAACUUGUGCAAAGGUGUGAAAUAAAUUAAGAUGGCAGGGCAGAAGCAAGAAAAUGGAGCUCAAAUUAAAUCUAUCUCUCAAAGCAGGUCUAUUUCACUGUGUUUGCUAUCAUAAAUUUAUUUCCGUGUAUGUGUUUGCUAGAAAUGAUAAAUGGCUGCCAACCCUAUUUCUGAUUCUUAGGCAAGUCCAUUUUACCAACAAAUCACUCAUUUUGAUUUGGUAAGUGCUAUGCACAAGCCUUUAAAAAUGUCUACCAUCCCAGAUCCCCAUCUACGAAUUAUCAAACUAUUGUUACUUCUAUUGUGUCUUUGCCUGAUUCCAUACCAUUUGCUUUACACUCCAUCUCAGGUUUGGAUCUUUUCACUUGGUGCUUGUGUUUGGCCUCCUAGUAUUUGACUACAACUUGAUCAGCUUUGGUUUAAACUCACCUUUCAGUUCGAAGCUACCAAGAUUCAUACCCCUGAUUCCAGCAGUUCAGGAGUUGCUGUCACAACCACUGGCUGCCAUUUCAAGAGGACCAACCCCAAACACUAGCCCUAUAUUAUAAAAAUCCAUUUAUUCAACAGAUUAUACUCAUCACUAUUAAGUGUAAGGCACUAGAGCAAUUUCUGGGAAAUACAGAAAAUUAAUUCGUAGUAGAAACUCUUUAGUACUUAUAAAAUCUGGUAGAACAAGUAAUACAAACAUAUGGUGAUAGCUUAAGACAGCACGUGUUCAACCCUUAAGUAUUCAUGCAAACAAGACAUUAACACAAGCUUCAAGUAGAAAGAUCCUUAACCUGUAAGUUAAGGGGCAUAGGGUAGAGGACAUGACCAAAAAACCUGGGAUAUGGAUCAUGGAUUUGAAAAGAUUAGGAAAACUGACAGGUGUUAACUAGACUUUGAAGGUAAAGUAGGCUAAACACCAUAAAAGAGAAAGACUUUCCCAAAAGUGGAACCAAACCAACAAGAGCAGGAAAAGUAACUUAGAUUAAAGAAAACUUACUAUCUAGACUGGCUGACAGAAUAAGUAAGGAGUGGAAGAGAGCCUAGAAAAAUUGGUUGAAACCAGAUUAUGGAAGGCUCUGAAUCAUGGGGAAUUUAUAAAGUUGGCAGGCAUGUAUCAGGGAGGCAGAAAGUUUUGAGCAGGAAAUGAUAAUUGGCUUGAUUUAGCCAAGAAGGAUUUGGUAGUAAGGAGGUAGGCAGGCGGAGGCAGCAGACCAGGGAAAUCGGGAGGCAAAUACAUAUAGUAAUCUGAAGUAAGGAGGGCCUGGACACAAAGACUGUUCAUUUCUUUUUAUUUCUUUUUAUUUUUUGCAUUUUAGGGCCGCACCCAUGGCAUAUGGAGGUUCCUAGGCUAGCUAGGGGUCUAAUUGGGACUACAGCUGCCGGCCUACACCACAGCCACAACAAUGCAGGAUCCGAGCUGAGUCUGUGACCUAUACCACAUCCCACUGCAAUGCCGGAUCCUUAACCCAGUGAGCAAGGCCAGGGAUCAAACCCACACCCUCAUGGUUACUAGUCAGAUUUGUUUCUGCUGUGCCACAACAGGAACUCCAAGACUGUUCAUUUCAUUAAGUGCCUGCUAUGAGGUAGGUGCUGGUGAUACAAUGAGGACAUGUCCUUAUGUCGAGAAAGUUUUCUGUCUAGUGAAAUAGUGAUCUCUAAAAUACUCCUAAGGGGGUCUCUGUAAAACUUUGGGACUCUUCUGACCCUUGCUCGGUUACUAGGGAAUUAGAUCCUCCUAAUGAAAAGCAAUUUACUAAAACAAAACAGGAAUAUUACAUCAGACAAGGCAAAGAAGAAAAUGACACGUUUUAAAGAGAUAACUGAAGAUGAUGAGAGUGACUUGGAGGUUAGAUUAGGGGCAAUACAACCAGUUGAGAGGUUGUUGUAGUAAUCUACCUGCUUGAUGAUGAGGGUCUGAACUAAGUAUGAAAGGAGUCCUUGGUGGCUACUUCCACCAUAAUCCUUUCUAUCACUGCCCUGGUACAAACUAAGGGAUGGGUAGAGGACCCUCAUCUGGAAUUGAUCUUGAACAGAGGGACUCAAGAACACAAGAAACACUGUUUACUUCUUCAGACUUAGAGGUAAUGCUCCUACUGUCAAGUAGCCUCUUUUCUGGUUUCUUUCUUAUUUGGAACACAAUUCACUAGCCUUCACGUUGAUUCUGUGCACUCCCUGGUAAACUCUUGUUUUGCUUUAGUUAGCCCAAAUUGGUUCCUAGGGCG
ensembl:lncRNA